AACGGCCGUACCAUGCUGAAUAUACCGGUUCUCGUUAGAUCACCGAAGUCAAGCAUCAUUGGGAGCGGUCAGUACUUGGGUGGGUGACCACCUGGGAACACCGCGUGCCGUUG
rnacentral:rRNA from 1 species